GCCUGGGUGGCUCAGUCAGUUAAGCGUCUGACUUCAGCUCAGGUCAUGAUCUAUCCGUUCGUGGGUUCGAGUCCUGCAUCAGGCU
rnacentral:tRNA from 1 species